rnacentral:rRNA from 1 species
AUACGUAGGGGGCGAGCGUUGUCCGGAAUGAUUGGGCGUAAAGGGCGCGUAGGCGGCCCGGUAAGUCUGGAGUGAAAGUCCUGUUUUUAGGAUGGGAAUUGCUUUGGAUACUGUCGGGCUUGAGUGCAGGAGAGGUAAGUGGAAUUCCCAGUGUAGCGGUGAAAUGCGUAGAGAUUGGGAGGAACACCAGUGGCGAAGGCGACUUACUGGACUGUAACUGACGCUGAGGCGCGAAAGUGUGGGGAGCAAACAGGAUUAGAUACCCUGGUAGUCCACACUGUAAACGAUGAAUGCUAGGUGUAGGGGGUAUCGACCCCUUCUGUGCCGCAGUCAACACAAUAAGCAUUCCGCCUGGGGAGUACGGCCGCAAGGUUGAAACUCAAAUGAAUUGACGGGG